UACGAAGGGUGCAAGCGUUACUCGGAAUUACUGGGCGUAAAGGGUGCGUAGGCGGGUCUUUAAGUCAGGGGUGAAAUCCUGGAGCUCAACUCCAGAACUGCCUUUGAUACUGAAGAUCUUGAGUUCGGGAGAGGUGAGUGGAACUGCGAGCGUAGAGGUGAAAUUCGUAGAUAUUCGCAAGAACACCAGUGGCGAAGGCGGCUCACUGGCCCGAUACUGACGCUGAGGCACGAAAGCGUGGGGGAGCAAACAGG
rnacentral:rRNA from 1 species